rnacentral:rRNA from 1 species
GACGAACCGAGCGAACGUUAUUCGGAAUCACUGGGCUUAAAGGGCGCGUAGGCGGGCAUCCAAGUCUGUGGUGAAAUCCAGCAGCUCAACUGUUGAACUGCCGUGGAUACUGGGUGUCUCGAGGGAGGUAGGGGCAUGCGGAACUAACGGUGGAGCGGUGAAAUGCGUAGAUAUCGGGAGGAACACCAGUGGCGAAGGCGGCGACCUGGGCUGAUACUGACGCUGAGGUGCGAAAGCGUGGGGAGCAAACAGG